rnacentral:ncRNA from 1 species
AAGGAUAGAGGCGCAAAGACCAUCAGUACACAAUUAGAGGAUAAUGAGAUCCUGUGAAGAUUGUGGAAAGGGGAAUUUGCCGAAGUGGAGAGACGCUCAUUUGUCUUGAAGCUGGUUCUGAGUUGAACAAAUUCAGGAUUGUCAUAUAGGAAACUAUAUGGAGGGCUAUCUUA